UCUAGUAUAAUGUUUACCGUUCUGAGCCAUCUGAUUACUUUUAGAGAUAAUUCGAAAUAGCUCGGUUUGAGCUUUUGUAAACACAAGGAUUUCUUCGUCUGCGUCACGUGAAUUAUGUCUUUGCAAUGGUAAACGAAAAAUCAGCGGAGAAUGACCUUUGCGUAUUUUUGAGAUGAACAAAUCCUCUCCAGAAUUGUUAAUAGUAAUAGAAACGACAUUCCAGAUCGACGGUAAUGAAUCAAUAAAAUUGUCUUGAAAUGUACGGACAUCAGGUAUAGAUAACCGACUAUUUAAAAUUUGUUCCAAACUACUAAAAUGAAGUUCUUUGUGCUGGUUUCUGAAUUUCUGUGCUUCACGACGUCUAUGGAAUCCUAGAGCUUUAGGGAUCUCUAAAAAAAAUGAGGCUGAACUAGAAUCGACGUCGGUCGUUUCGCCAAUUGUGGUUAAUG